rnacentral:rRNA from 1 species
UUGAACGCUGGCGGAAUGCUUUACACAUGCAAGUCGAACGGCAGCACGGGGGCAACCCUGGUGGCGAGUGGCGAACGGGUGAGUAAUACAUCGGAACGUGCCCGGUCGUGGGGGAUAACGUAGCGAAAGUUACGCUAAUACCGCAUACGAUCUGAGGAUGAAAGCGGGGGACCUUCGGGCCUCGCGCGAUCGGAGCGGCCGAUGUCAGAUUAGGUAGUUGGUGGGGUAAAGGCCUACCAAGCCGACGAUCUGUAGCUGGUCUGAGAGGACGACCAGCCACACUGGGACUGAGACACGGCCCAGACUCCUACGGGAGGCAGCAGUGGGGAAUUUUGGACAAUGGGCGCAAGCCUGAUCCAGCCAUUCCGCGUGCAGGACGAAGGCCUUCGGGUUGUAAACUGCUUUUGUAUGGAACGAAAAGGCUCUGGCUAAUACCUGGGGCUCAUGACGGUACCGUAAGAAUAAGCACCGGCUAACUACGUG